AUUUGAAUGUCUGUGCCCUAUAUUCCCUGUAAUAUGUAUUUUUUAGUAUUUUUUUCAAUUAUAACAGUCUUUACGGUUCCAAGUAACUGCUGGCAGUAUAAUUAUCGUGAUGGUGGCACUUGUGAUGAUACUAAUUCAUACUUGGUUGUUGAUACAGAAAUCAGUGCGGGCUCAGGAAGUUUUAGGCGUUACGAGACGAUACGUUAUGAAGCGGUAGAAUAUGUAAAAUGUGUAGAUGCUGAAAAUCUUUGGAGAGAUAACACUGGUGGGGAAGUAUUACGAAUUGAUGGAGGUGUUGGGCAGAAAUUUAUAAAAUUAGAGUUUAAAACUCAGUUAUCAAGAGGAAUGAAAUUUCGACUAAGAAUAUGGGAACCAAAACCAAAACAUUAAUUAUUUAUUUACUUGAUUUCCAAAAUGUACAACUUAUUAAAUUAUAA